rnacentral:rRNA from 1 species
UGAUCGGCCACAUUGGGACUGAGACACGGCCCAAACUCCUACGGGAGGCAGCAGUAGGRAAUCUUCCACAAUGGACGCAAGUCUGAUGGASCAACGCCGCGUGA